ensembl:snoRNA
CUGCGUCCACUGACAGACCCUGAACAGCCUGCUGUUCUCUUGGUUUGCACUAGGGCAAGAUAGAAAAAUCCUUGCACUUUCUGUCUGGGUGGCAGGCCAGACUGAAUAGGGGAUAUAUCA